UACGUAGGUGGCAAGCGUUAUCCGGAAUUACUGGGCGUAAAGCGCACGCAGGCGGCUAGUCAAGUUCGACGUGAAAGCUCCCGGCUUAACUGGGAGAGGUCGUUGAAAACUGGUUAGCUUGAGGCAAUGAGAGGGGUGUAGAAUUCCCGGUGUAGUGGUGGAAUGCGUAGAUAUCGGGAGGAAUACCAGUGGCGAAGGCGGCUUCCUGGCCUGUUCUUGACGCUGAGGCGCGAAAGCUAGGGGAUCAAACGGG
rnacentral:rRNA from 1 species